UACGUAGGGGGCUAGCGUUGCUCGGAAUUACUGGGCGUAAAGGGCGCGUAGGCGGCUCUGUUAGUCAGGCGUGAAAGUCCUGGGCUCAACCUGGGAACUGCGCUUGAUACGGCAGGGUUAGAGGAUGGAAGAGGGUCGCGGAAUUCCCAGUGUAGAGGUGAAAUUCGUAGAUAUUGGGAAGAACACCGGUGGCGAAGGCGGCGACCUGGUCCAUUACUGACGCUGAGGCGCGACAGCGUGGGGAGCAAACAGG
rnacentral:rRNA from 1 species